UACGGGGGGGCCAAGCGUUGUUCGGAAUUACUGGGCGUAAAGGGCUCGUAGGUGGCCAACUAAGUCAGACGUGAAAUCCCUCGGCUUAACCGGGGAACUGCGUCCGAUACUGGUUGGCUUGAAUCCGGGAGAGGGAUGUGGAAUUCCAGGUGUAGCGGUGAAAUGCGUAGAGAUCGGGAGGAACACCAGAGGCGAAGGCGGCGACCUGGACAGAUACUGACACUCAACUGCGAAAGCGUGGGGGGCAAACAGG
rnacentral:rRNA from 1 species